CCUGUGAAGGUCCAAUGUUCUCAUGUCAGUUAAAGAGUUCAGAUACUAACUUUAUUUGUCAUUUCUUUAUCAGAAGUCAAAUACCUGAACUGAGCUGUUGUCUUGGAAGUUCAAAAUCUCAGACAGGUGCAAGACUGCUAAAAUUUGUUCCUCAUUCUACUGUAAUGAUGGGAAAAGCUGAGUUACAGUAGCUGGAAUUUUCCAUUGUGUAGCACCAGCUCCCGUAUUCAAACAGCGGGUAAGUUGUUCUGCACUGGGAGGUCACUGUAGUCGUAUUUAUAUACAGGAGUUUUUAUUUCAGUGUAUCAAACUGCCAGCUUAACUACAGAGAGCAAAGCACUGAAAAGAUUCAGUAAGCUUCUUGCCCAAUUUUGUGAUGUGAAGGAUAUGGAGUAUUCCAGUUGCUGGAAGAGGAAUGCAGAUGCCAGCUUCCCCUGGGCUGCAAGGAGACAGAGGCUGCAACCCUAGUACCAAGACAGAGAGUGAGGGGACGUGCUGUUUCCUGGAAGGGAGACAAUUCCAGGCAAGUCUAUUCUCUGAGCUGCUCCAUCUUCUGGUACUAUGGAGAAGUUACAGGGGUUUAGUGUGUUUUGGAAAGUAAGAUUAAGAAAUCUGGUUGUAAUGGAUACGUAGUUAAAGAAGAGGAAAACACCACUUUAAAAUUACAAGGGAAGCCCAGUUAGCCUAUGCAAGUAAUGCAACUUCACUUACAAGCUUAACAAUUGCAGUCUUACUACUCUUAAGUGACUGAGACAUUUCUCUUGCCAGUCUAUCAGCCUGCAUUACUCAGUGGCAUUUAGUUGGACUUGCAAAUUGUAGGCGGCCUCUGACUCAGCUGUGAUGUAGUCAUUUUCAGUUGUUUUCAAGGUGCUAACACUGCUUUUCUUCUUGAACAGAUCUUCCAGUUAUUUUUUCUGCCCUUUUAGAUGUUGUAUGCUCGGAAAUGUUACAUCUCUAGGUGUGAGCUUUCCCUCAUUUACUACAAGAGUAAAUAGUCUUUGCCCAGAUAGAUAAGAGGUUUACAGCCUCCAUUCUGUUUGCAAGAUUUUCUCCCCACUCCUGAAUCUUGAAGUUUAGGAAUGAUUGAUACUUCUAUUAUCAGUGUUGUAGCCUAGAAGAGUACAGACAUCACAUCCAACUCCUACACAAAAUUAAAUUACACUAUACUUUUUAAUUGGACUUAGAACAAAAACUGAUCAAGGACCCACCUAAAGUAUCUAGGGUCCAGUUUUACAGGGCGAAUACUGUCCGUCACUCCAUUGCAAUGAUGCAUUGCAUUACCAGUUCCAUUGCCACAUUCCUGGUUUUACUCCCACUUUUUAUCCAAAGGCCCUUGCCUUGGCUAAACCACUGGUUUAGCAAAACUUAAAAUCUGAAGGUUUACAUAAAAGCGCGCCAAAGCCUGUUACAAUAAAUUCACACUCAAUAACAUCUUGUGUUAUUGUGUUAUUAUGUUUUGUAGCAGAUCUGCUAAGCAGUGAAUACCUUACUCCAGGCAGUGAUCCCUUGCGUCCACUUCCAAGCCUGGUCUUGCCCUUUGGCCACAGGAGGCUUUAUGGUGAAUAUAAGCUCAGGACAUGACAAGCCACUAAAAUGAAUACAGUUGAGAAAUUAAAGGCCCUGUAUUUUCAGCUGCCUCACUUCUGGUUUGGCUUGGUAUGGCACAAGCAGGAACAAGUAGCCAGAACUCAGACACAGUAGAGCAGGAUCAGGCAAGAGAGGCUGGGAUGAGAAGAUGGAAGGUUAACUGCUCAUAUUGCUUGAAAAAAAAAAAAAGAUAGUUGCAAAGGACAUUUAAAUGAGACCUUUAAUAAUACAGGAUUUUACUAACUCAUGUAUUAGUGGAACAGCCCUUUUGCCAAUUUCCAUUUACCUGUGUGCUUAUGUGCAGUGGGUAAAAAAACUCUGGAUAGUUCAUGAGGUGUCAUGUCCUGGGGAGAUAUGAUUUAUGGGCCUGUAUCUCUUUAGCCUUGUACAACCUCAGAGGCUAAACCUGCCUGUGGGCUUUACCAGUGCAGUUGUUUAUCUGCAUCAAUUUGUUAGAUGCUCAGAUACUCCAGUAACAAAAAACAUUAGUAAUUUUACUGGAAACUACAUCUAAACAGCUGCUCUGUAGCCUUUUCUAAGCUCCUGCAAAGCAUCACCCUUCACAAUAUAGCAGGUACUAGGGCAAGAGACAGGACUGAUGACUCUCAGCAAUACUCUAUGGAACAGCGACUGCUUAGAUUUAGUAGUAUAUAAACUGUUUAGUGAAUCCCAGCCAUACCCUACAGCCACCAGAACGGAGGUGAAUAGUUGUGCAAAGACAGGGUACAUAGCUUUUGUCAACCUGAGUGGACUUGUUUUGCCAUGAAUGACACCAGUAACUAGGAAAAGAAUCAACUGACAACACAGACAAUUGAAAAGGGAACUUUAUUCAGGGAAGGAGGGAGACCCUGUGAAAUGGUUUUGAAAUUGUUUUUUCCAUAUGGACUAAUGGAUGCAGGGAAAGAAGCUGGUUAAAUAGUUAAACCCUUCCAACACAUUCAGUGAAGGUAUGCAUAAAAUGCAUCUCCCACAUCCAAGUUAUCUCCUAAAGAAGACCAGAAUCCUUCUAGAAGGUAAAAAAUGCAAAUACAAACCCUACUAAAAAUUCAGGUCACCUUUGUAUGCAAUAGAGCAACAAAAUAGAAUUGUGAUAAAGGUUUGCAAGUCAUUUUGAAGAUUUAGGCACAUACAGCUAAUGCACCACAUCAGCUAUUCUGUAUCUCGCCCCUGCUUGUCAAUGAUAUUAAAGACUUCCCUCCCAUCCAGAGCUGGCUGUCCUAAGAUUUUGUAUUUAUUUCAUUGCCAGUGAUUGUAAACAACAGAAGGAACAGAUGUUCACAGUAGAAGCAGUCCAAUUUUACCAGGUGCUAGUUACCCUCACUACCCAACAUGAAGUGGGCAAGCACAACACUUCCAAAUCAGCUGUAACCUUGAAUGUAACAUGGUUGACUGUUGACAGAAAGCCUACUCACUGGUAAUUUAAAGAACAGCUUUCCAGAAGGUAGUAGGUGCAUGUACAUUGUUCAUGCCACUUAACAGAAAAUUGGGCUACAGUUACGGUAAGUGAAAGAGAAUUUCUGAACUUAACUUAGCUUUUAAAAACUGUCUUCUCAUGACAGUAAUUACACUGAGGCUGAAGCAACCAAACCCUUUUAUUUUCAUGUUCUGCCUUUGGUUCUGAAUUAAGCAGGGUUGAGUUUGGACCCUCCUAAAUCAGGUUUAUGUAUUUUUUUUUUUUACAAAAAAAUUCUUAAUCCUUUAAAAGCUCAAGUAAAAAUGUGUAUGAUAAUCCAAUUUUCAACCCCCCCUGUUUUAAAUAUAUUUUUUCCUAUUAGCAUAUAAAAAGGGAAAGGAAAAAGUUGUCAUGCAAAUAUUCUGAACAGUCUGAUAAUAUUCA